CUCCUAGUACUAAAACAUAAUCCAUAUUCCCAUUGCAGGUUUACUUCGACCAAACCAAUUAAAUCUCAACCUGGUCAAGCAUGCGUUUAAUUAAAUAAAAUGAAAAAUUGAAGAAUCAAUUGCCUUGUUCUACACUGCUACUCUGAAUCGAAGAACAAGGACCAACAAACCGUGGUGAUCAUAUCAGGUUCAGUAGUUUUUGGGGUUCUUCUGUUGGUAUAUAUCAAUCAGCUGGUUGUUGAUUUGGAAAAGUACCUUCCACAGAAGCAACGGUAAGUACAUGAACACUUCUUUUAUUCUCUAUGUCCUCUAAUUGUAAAAAUUUUAAAAAGUUAAAACUUGUCAUUGUGUCCAAACAUGAAAUUUAAACUGUCAAUUAAUAUAGUCCAAACCUGAAAUUUAAACUGUUUUUGCUACCUUUUUAUUAUAAAUAAAAUGAAUACUAGACCACUAGUCUCUAGUUGAAAGGUAGGGCACAUACAGUUUCAUUUCAUUAAUGUAUUGCUAAACUUGAUUGAAUUGGAAGUUUUGACUAGAUUUUUUUCUGCUCUCUAAGUUUUAACUCUGAUAUAUUGACUAAUUAUGUUACUAUACUACUCUUGUUAAAUUAUUAACAAAUAGUUGAACUACAGCUAGUCUUUCUCUCAUGUUACUAAGUCUUUCAAGUGUUCCAAGCUUAGGGAUUUUUGCAAGCCCAAUUUCAACCCAAUUUCUGGUGUUCUCAUUGUCACAGGUAUAUAUAUAUGUAGCUACGGGCAUUGGACUAAUUGAUCAAGUACCAUGAUGCUUGCUAACAAUUUUUUGUGACGUAAAAAAUCCUUGACGGAUAUGCAUUUUGUGAUGUAAAAAUCUUUUGUUGGGAACUUGUUUUGUUUAUGUAAUUAUUUGGGCAAUGAACUUGUUUUGUUAUUUGGCAAUUGG